UGUGGGGAAAUAUGAACUGAAGCUGUGAGAUCGACUAAAAUGACUGAUAUGAUGGACUCCAUGGAUACCAGUGGACUAGAGAUCCAUAUCAUGGAUCAUUCAGACACGUGUGGCCACCAGUUCCUCAACAUGAUGAAUCCAACGUGGGCUGCUGGGAUGGAGGAUGAUGGGGGCUACUCAUGGAGGUGAGAGGACGGUGCUGGCAUCGCUUCAGUUCCACGGGUUUGACCGGAAGAGAGAGGUAGAUAAGGUCCUUGAUCAAGUGGAGGCACUUAUGGCAGAGGAAUCAGGCUACUCUGAGAAAUUAAUACACUCCAAACAAAGUGAAUGUCAGAGGCUUCCUCAGAAACCCUUUGUCUUCAGAGGAGGACAUGGAGCUAAGGACUGCUGCUCGGGGUCUGAUUAGGAUGCUUCUGAGACCACAGGGAGGAAGAGAAUCCACGCACCGCCGUGCUGCAAACAACAGAAAGAUAAAGAAAAUUCACGAGUGAUUCAGAGCGACCAAGUGGAAGGCAAGCAGUGAGCGACCAUCAGCAGCUCCAGGGCAGAUGUCAACCUGCACCCAUCUUUGCUCCCUUGCUGCACAGGA